rnacentral:sRNA from 2 species
UAAUAGGUAUGAAUGACUUUAGGUGAAUUAGAUGGCUUAAUAAAGUGUUUUCCUUGGAGAGUGCUUUAUUGUUUUAAAUAAUAUAGUUUUGUUUUAAAAGUAAAUGAUAUCUCGCGUGAGGUUUCAUCUCCAGUGGGAAUAGAACAGACCAUGGUGGCAUAACAACGAGAAUAGCCGUCAGAGAACAUGAUUAUUCAUAAUUGUGACGACUCUAUCUCUGCUUCCUCCAUGUCUUCAUCUCCGUCCAUGUAUCCAACCCCCUCUCCUUCCUCUUCAUCAUCCCAUCCUUCAUUGUCCUGCCCC